rnacentral:rRNA from 1 species
UACGAAGGGGGCUAGCGUUGUUCGGAAUUACUGGGCGUAAAGCGCACGUAGGCGGACAUUUAAGUCAGGGGUGAAAUCCCAGAGCUCAACUCUGGAACUGCCUUUGAUACUGGGUGUCUUGAGUAUGGAAGAGGUGAGUGGAAUUCCGAGUGUAGAGGUGAAAUUCGUAGAUAUUCGGAGGAACACCGGUGGCGAAGGCGGCAUCCUGGACCAACACUGACGCUGAGUGAGCGAAAGCCAGGGGAGCAAACGGG